UAGCACAGAGAGCUUGCUCUCGGGUGACGAGCGGCGGACGGGUGAGUAAUGUCUGGGAAACUGCCUGAUGGAGGGGGAUAACUACUGGAAACGGUAGCUAAUACCGCAUAAUGUCGCAAGACCAAAGUGGGGGACCUUCGGGCCUCAUGCCAUCAGAUGUGCCCAGAUGGGAUUAGCUAGUAGGUGGGGUAACGGCUCACCUAGGCGACGAUCCCUAGCUGGUCUGAGAGGAUGACCAGCCACACUGGAACUGAGACACGGUCCAGACUCCUACGGGAGGCAGCAGUGGGGAAUAUUGCACAAUGGGCGCAAGCCUGAUGCAGCCAUGCCGCGUGUGUGAAGAAGGCCUUCGGGUUGUAAAGCACUUUCAGCGGGGAGGAAGGCGUUGAGGUUAAUAACCUUGUCGAUUGACGUUACCCGCAGAAGAAGCACCGGCUAACUCCGUGCCAGCAGCCGCGGUAAUACGGAGGGUGCAAGCGUUAAUCGGAAUUACUGGGCGUAAAGCGCACGCAGGCGGUCUGUCAAGUCGGAUGUGAAAUCCCCGGGCUCAACCUGGGAACUGCAUUCGAAACUGGCAGGCUAGAGUCUUGUA
rnacentral:rRNA from 1 species